rnacentral:lncRNA from 1 species
ACUCGAUCGGAGCCCGGGAAGAUCCUAUCUUUUAUAUAUAUAAAUAUAAUUGGUCCAUCCAUCUUCAAAUUAUCAAACUAUGGUUUCCAAGAACACAGUUGUUGUAGUGACAAUGAUGAUGAUGCUCAUAUCUUUCAUGUUAGGAGCUCUGCCGGCGGCGGUGGAUGCCGGACGCUCUCCCACCGGUCCGAACUCGGCCAGGCUGCUCGCAGGUAUAAUAAAUUCACAGCCUAAGGUUUUUACUGCGUUAUUAAUUAUAUCUGAUUAAACUCGAAUUCGAUCUACGAUUGCAAUGAUCGAAUCCGAGUUCUUCAAACUCAUUUAUCUUUCUGAGAAAUAAUCCAUCAGGUGAUUGGCCUCUCGGAGGAAACCAUAAGGGACGUUGAAGAAUCCAUGGCCUAGCUACCCAGGAGGGCACGACGUCGUUUUGCUGGAAAGAUGAAGCUGGAUAUGUUUAUGUGUGUUAAUAAAUUGUGUGUGUUUUUAUUCUUCUUCUUUUCGUUUCUGGUUUUCAGUUUGCAAGUUGUAUUUCUUAUCUAUUAAUUGUGUGGUUUGUUAUUGAUGGGAUUCGUACAUCGGUUAUCGAGUUGGGUUGAUAUAUAAUAAUGAUGAAUUUUGUCGGUUUAAAUAUACAUUCUGUCAAAAAAAGGUUUCGUUUUACAUCACUUAACGCGGUAGUUUGUUGAUUUUUUAGUGAGCAAACAAAGUUGGAUUUUGUUCAAAUUUGAUUAGUAUUAUUUGUGGUUCAUAGGGUUAUAUUCUGACCGUUAGAAUCAUCGUUUUGAGGUAUGAUUCG